rfam:Triticum aestivum genome assembly, contig: Triticum_aestivum_CS42_TGACv1_scaffold_129382_2BL
UUUAUACUCCCUCCGUCCCAAAAUUCUUGUCUUAGAUUAGUCUAGAUACGGAUGUAUCUAAUAUCAAAACGUGACUUGAUACAUCCGUAUUUAGACAAAUCUAAGACAAGAAUUUUGGGACGGAGGGAGUAUUCA